UACCUUGUUACGACUUAGCGCCCCUUACCGGCCACACCUUCGGCGACUCCCUCCCUUGCGGGUUGGGCCAUCGACUUCGGGUGCAACCGACUCAGGUCACUUGACGGGCGGUGUGUACAAGGCCCGGGAACGUAUUCACCGCAGCAUAGCUGAUCUGCGGUUACUAGCGAUUCCGACUUCACGGAGUCGAGUUGCAGACUGCGAUCCGAACUGGGACCGGAUUUUUGGGAUUAGCUCCACCUCGCGGUCUUGCUGCCCUCUGUUACCGGCCAUUGUAGCAUGUGUGUAGGCCCAGGGGUAAGGGCCAUGCUGACUUGACG
rnacentral:rRNA from 1 species